rnacentral:lncRNA from 1 species
CAGGAGACACAAAUACCUUUUUCUUUGGGGUUGCUGUGAUGGCUCCUCUGACCUUAAAGGUCCGCAGAAAGAGAGCGAGAGUACACGCUGACCCCUUUUAGUGAGAAGAAGCUAUUCAAAUGAGGCAAGGGGUCAGUUUUCAGGGGGCUGAGUCUAUCUUCAUUAUGUCCACUGUCAGUAGGUUGACUGAUACCCGGGUAGGCUAGGGGCACAGUAAGAAGGGGACACACAUGAGGCACUUCCAUGGAAGAUUCUAUCCUAAACAGGACAAGGGGUUAUAUUACAAAGGAACAGGUGAGCAUAGCUUCACCCAUGGGACUGUAGCAAGACACACCCAUGCACAAGACACCGACAUUCGAACCCAAGAAGAGUGGGGAAAGCUCUGCCACAUUUCUGUGACUGAGCACCUCAGCACCCAGCUGGGGCGUAUGUCUCAGUCACAUGUAAGGUUGGUCUCCCACACUGAGUCUUUUUGAUAUUUUGUAAUAAAAAUCAGAUUUUGAUUAACAUUGUCAUCCUCUUAUGCAGGAUCUUUAUAUUAUAUGAGCUUCCUCAAAUAACAUAUUUUAUUGUAUAUUUUUUUUUGUGGUGCUGGGGAUUGAAUGCAGGGCCUUGUGUACAUCAGGCAAGCUCUCUGCCAACCGAGUUAUAUCCCCAGCCCCCCACAGAUAACAUUUUGUUGUGCAUUGAAAAAUCUUUCAUUGUUGAAAAAUUAUGGCUGUUGUGUCCUAUGUCUCCUACAUAUGCUUUUUCUUACAAGUUUUUACCAUUGUUCCUUGUUAUUUUUCUUUUUAAUACAAUUGUUUUUAGUUGUAGUUGGACAUAAUACCUUUAUUCUGUAUAUUUAUUUUUAUGUGGUGCUAAGGAUCGAACCCAGUACCUCAAAUGUGCGAGGCAAGUGCUCUGCUGAUUAGCCACAACCCCAUUGCCAUGUUCCUUGUUAUUUUAAUCUGGUUUUGGUAGGGACCAGUCGUGUGAUCUUUUCCCUUUCUUAAACAUCUCAUUUAAGUCUUAUGGUAUGUGGACUGAGAUAGUCAAGUAACCACAGCUUUCUCAUUUUUAUAUGCUCAUCUUUUUAUCUGUUUGGCAGUUCCUCAUUGUUAGGCUUUUUGCUGAAUUUGGGAAUGGCAGUGUUUUUUCAAGAGUGGUCUAAGCUUUGUGAACCCACAAGUUUAGCUUUUACUCACAUGCCCCCUCUAAUGGUUCUCUUCUGAAAAUUUAAUUAGAGACGUUGUUCAUAUGGAUUUCUUCCUUCUGGGAGAUGGCCUACCAGCAAAAAGCACAAUUUGAUAUUUUAUUGCUGGUAAUGGGAACAUUCACAAAUAAUAGUUGUCG